UGAAACCGUGUACGUACAAGCAGUGGGAGCACGCUUAGGCGUGUGACUGCGUACCUUUUGUAUAAUGGGUCAGCGACUUAUAUUCUGUAGCAAGGUUAACCGAAUAGGGGAGCCGAAGGGAAACCGAGUCUUAACUGGGCGUUAAGUUGCAGGGUAUAGACCCGAAACCCGGUGAUCUAGCCAUGGGCAGGUUGAAGGUUGGGUAACACUAACUGGAGGACCGAACCGACUAAUGUUGAAAAAUUAGCGGAUGACUUGUGGCUGGGGGUGAAAGGCCAAUCAAACCGGGAGAUAGCUGGUUCUCCCCGAAAGCUAUUUAGGUAGCGCCUCGUGAAUUCAUCUCCGGGGGUAGAGCACUGUUUCGGCAAGGGGGUCAUCCCGACUUACCAACCCGAUGCAAACUGCGAAUACCGGAGAAUGUUAUCACGGGAGACACACGGCGGGUGCUAACGUCCGUCGUGAAGAGGGAAACAACCCAGACCGCCAGCUAAGGUCCCAAAGUCAUGGUUAAGUGGGAAACGAUGUGGGAAGGCCCAGACAGCCAGGAUGUUGGCUUAGAAGCAGCCAUCAUUUAAAGAAAGCGUAAUAGCUCACUGGUCGAGUCGGCCUGCGCGGAAGAUGUAACGGGGCUAAACCAUGCACCGAAGCUGCGGCAGCGACGCUUAUGCGUUGUUGGGUAGGGGAGCGUUCUGUAAGCCUG
rnacentral:rRNA from 1 species